rnacentral:misc_RNA from 1 species
AAGUCGUAACAAGGUCUCCGUUGGUGAACCAGCGGAGGGAUCAUUAAUGAGGAUAAACCCUCUAUAAACCAUUGUGAACUUACCAUAUUUCGUUGCUUCGGUAGGCGGCCCCGGGGGGGCCUGGGCCUUUUGGCGCCUACCGGGCAACACUUUAAAAUCUUUCAAUUCUUGCAUUCAGAGAAUUCUAGCCUGCCUUAAGGUAGCAUAAUCAGUAAAAACUUUCAACAACGGAUCUCUUGGUUCUG